AAAACUUCAACAGAAGUACUUCCAUUUGAUAUAGGAGAAGGAUUUAUGCAGCAGGAUUUUUUUAUGAAGCAUAUACAAAUCACUUCCAAGGUUUUGACCUUCUAGAAAAUGUCAGUAACUUUGCAGAUGACAUUUUGUUGACAAUGUUAUUAGCCUUGAAUGUUUUCAUCAGCAUAAUUGCAUAUGCAAAAAAAAAAUCUGUGUGGCCUACAGAAAUUAUUACUUUAUAAAUGAAGAAGAGUACUUACUGCCAACAUUUCAGAAGCCCAGAAGAGACAAGGAGGCCAAACAUCUUGCUUCUAUCCUCUGGCAUAGCUUCUCAAAUGAAGGUGCAGAAGGCUGUAUAGACAAAAAUGAGCUUUCCCCUCCCACCACAUUUUAAAGACUGUGAUAUACCUGAUUUUGGUACCAUUGUCAGUAAGUAUAUGGCUGGAUGGCUGGAGAGUGAUGCAAAACAAUAGGUAGCCAUGAGCCAGUCAUCCGCAGCCUGACAGAUCUGCAUUCAGUGCUACGUGAUGAAAUGGUAUGACUUUGAAAAGCCCUAAAACUUCACGUACAGCCCUACAUUUGAAACAAGACUAAUCAGCUCAAUAGUACUGUGCUGAUGCACCUGUUUGCUUCUGCUUGGAUGUCUAGCUGUAGCUCUAUAGUGGGCACUUACAUAUAUAUGCAUGUAAGACAAUAUUCAUGCCUAUUGUUAACAUCUAUUUUUAAAGGUUGAAAACCCUGCUUACCUCCAGCAAAUGCUGCAAACAAUUGACUCACAAGUGAACUAUAAAUAAUGUUUGCAGCACAUAGCCCAUGCAACAUACUGCUCUAGCGUUACUGAAUAUUCAGAACCUGCUGCCUCUGGUAGCUAUAUACGUCAUGUUCAUGACAGGUUUAGUCUUCAGUAGCCCUGAGCCUAAGAUCUGGCAUGUGUUUUGGAACUAGAGCAUUUGCAGAUUAGAGAAUACUAGCCACAGGGCCAGGUAUGAUGUGGAAACUUGAAAAUACAAAGUGUCUGUACUGACAUUCUGAGUAUUACCACAUAAUAAUAUAAAAUAUAAAGUUUGGGAGGAGAUGAGGGGAAUGACUGACAAAUGCUGCCAAGCAUAAAGCAAUUUAAGCAGCUUCAGGGCCGGCCUCCAUCAUGUGCAAGGCUUCUGUUGUAGGCAGAUUUUUGAAGGAAAGACUGCAGGCAUGGAAAAUGGUAUGAAACCGGGUUUAGCAAGGAUAGAACUUAACAGACUAAGCUGAUAAAUGGUUGACCAGCAUCAAAACAAUUGUAGUAGAAGAUGGGAGCAGCUCUGGAAGGGCAACUGCAUGUUUCCACCAUGCUGAUUUGGCUCCCUUGGAGUUAAUAAACCAGCCCCUGUGCUGCCUGUCUGCACCCCAGGAAAGUGCAGAGUGCUCAGCUUGUUGGUGGACCAGGGGUGAAGGGAAGGAAAGGGAAUGGAUCUUCCACAUAUUGCCAGCCAGACUGAUGCAGUAAAUCUCAGCAUCCCCAUCACAACAGGACAGCCCUGCAGUCAGUUCCUUAUUUGGCAGGAAUAGAGUAAGAGGAAAGUGAAACACAUGGGCUAAAAGAAAGGAUCCCACCUACCACAGCUUAGUAUACACAGCACCAGCUCAGUGUUCAAUGCUGCAUUAUACCCGCUUCCAAGAAGGUUUAUUGUCCUGAAGGCAGGAGGAUAGGAGCUCAUGGAGGCAAGAGUCUAGUAGCAGUAUGGCCAGUGCCUUACUGUGCUGCAUCUCACAUAGAAUAUUCAACCAGAACCUGUAAUUCCAUGGUGCACACACAUACCAGCUGCCUUUACAUAAAAGUCAGCUUGUGUUUGGCCAUACCCAGCAGCUCAAGAUCUGUGUGAUGAGAAUGUGGCUACUUCUACAGAUACUGAAACAAAAUCACUGCAUUUGUGCCGCGUGUCUUGACAGCAGGCUUGCCAGACCAAAGCAGGCUAUGCUGAGCUGUCUUGGAGUCUGUUCACCUGCAUUAUGAAUUAUGCACUAACAGUCUAGCUGACUAAGUUAAUGUAUAUAUCUAUGUAUAUCAAAGAGCUAACUGUGGUGUUAAAAUGUCAAUACAUAAAUCAAGCUACAGAUUAAAUAUUUGGGUUUUGAGCAUUUGUUCUGAAAGAUUAAAUGAAUGAAACAGAUAUCCUAUUUCUGAUCAUUCUAUUCUUUUAAUAUUUGCCCAGGCAAAGCUAUCUUGUAGAUCACUCAGACAUUGCUGUCAAAACACAAGGUUAUAGUGAUUUUUACAUCUCAUGAUAAAUGAUGUCUUUGCUUUAUGGGAAAGGAUAGUUGCUCAUCGAAAAACUCUAAUCUUGAGUUACAACUGGUCAAAAAACUCAGCUAUUGGAGUCCAUAUCAAAUUUUUUAAAUGUUUUUACUUUCUCAUUGUGCUGUGAAAAUCACUCCAUACGUACUUGUGGGAAAAAGCUGAAGUAGAUUAAACAGAAAUGCCAUCAAAUGCAUAAAGGGCUGAACAGCAUCAUUUUGAUAUAAAUCUCAAACAAAUAUAAGUGCAUUCUUUGGCUGCCCUGAUAUAGAACCUGUAAUUGAAAUUCAGUCUGUAUUCUGGACUGUUUUCAGCUCUGCAGUAGGGUCAAGAGGUUUGAACAAAGAUAGAGUACUGGCUUGACCCUUUACCCUCUGCCUUACCACACUCUACUCAUUAUUUCAAUCUGCCAUUAAAGGAUUCUUCCAUCAGCUUUCAGAUAUCUGAACAUCACACAUAAAGUUGUGUGAAUUCAAACAAAAUUAAUCUCCAAUGUGCUGCUUUAUUUUGAAUGUACUAGUUGCUUGCAGAGGAAAAAAAUGUCUGAGCUGUUCUUAAAGUCAGUGAAAAGCAUUAAAGAUUCUCCCCUGAGAUGUGUCCCUUGUGGGGUUAACAUUUUCAGCAGAAGAUUUAAAAUCUCUCUGAUUCUGACUGACAAAGGAUUACAAAAUAGACUUUUCAUGGAAACACUGUAGAUUGUCCAUAUUCUUUGGCUUUUCUAGGACAUGCUUGAGGAAUCCUAAACCUGUUGUUUCUUACAAUGUAUUG